rnacentral:snRNA from 1 species
CGGACGUCUUCGGCGUUCGAAUU